rnacentral:rRNA from 1 species
CCUACGGGAGGCAGCAGUGGGGAAUUUUGCGCAAUGGGGGCAACCCUGACGCAGCAACGCCGCGUGAGUGAUGAAGGCCUUCGGGUCGUAAAGCUCUGUCAGAGGGGAAGAAAUGCAGGUGGUGAACAACCAUUCUGUUUGACGGUACCCUCAAAGGAAGCACCGGCUAACUCCGUGCCAGCAGCCGCGGUAAUACGGAGGGUGCGAGCGUUGUUCGGAAUUAUUGGGCGUAAAGCGCGUGUAGGCGGUUUGUUAAGUCUGAUGUGAAAGCCCCGGUCCCAACCUGGGAAGUGCAUUGGAUACUGGCAGACUUGAGUACGGGAGAGGAGAGUGGAAUUCCCAGUGUAGGAGUGAAAUCCGUAGAUAUUGGGAGGAACACCGGUGGCGAAAGCGGCCUCCUGGACGGUUACUGACGCUGAGACGCGAAAGCGUGGGGAGCAAACAGGAUUAGAUCCCCUUGUAGU